rnacentral:pre_miRNA from 15 species
CCAGUCACAUCCCCUUAUCACUUUUCCAGCCCAGCUGUGUGAUUCUAAGUGUUGGACGGAGAACUGAUAAGGGUAGGUGACUGA